AUACGUAGGUGACAAGCGUUAUCCGGAUUUACUGGGCGUAAAGGGCGUGUAGGCGGUCUUGCAAGUCAGAAGUGAAAUUCCUGAGCUCAACUCGGGCGCUGCUUCUGAAACUGCAGGACUUGAGUGCUGGAGGGGAUAGCGGAAUUCCUAGUGGAGCGGUAAAAUGCGCAGAUAUUAGGAAGAACACCGGUGGCGAAGGCGGCUAUCUGGCAAGGAACAGACGCUGAGGCGCGAAAGAGUGGGGAGCAAAAAGGAUGAGAUACCCUGGAAGUCCACGCCGUAAACGAUGAAUUCUAGGUGUGGGGGGACUGAUCCCCUCCGUGCCGGAGUUAACACAAUAAGUAUUCCACCUGGGGAGUACGGCCGCAAGGUUGAAACUCAAAUGAAUUGACGGGG
rnacentral:rRNA from 1 species